GAUGAACGCUGGCGGCGUGCCUAAUACAUGCAAGUCGAGCGAACAGACGAGGAGCUUGCUCCUCUGACGUUAGCGGCGGACGGGUGAGUAACACGUGGAUAACCUACCUAUAAGACUGGGAUAACUUCGGGAAACCGGAGCUAAUACCGGAUAAUAUAUUGAACCGCAUGGUUCAAUAGUGAAAGACGGUUUUGCUGUCACUUAUAGAUGGAUCCGCGCCGCAUUAGCUAGUUGGUAAGGUAACGGCUUACCAAGGCGACGAUGCGUAGCCGACCUGAGAGGGUGAUCGGCCACACUGGAACUGAGACACGGUCCAGACUCCUACGGGAGACAGCAGUAGGGAAUCUUCCGCAAUGGGCGAAAGCCUGACGGAGCAACGCCGCGUGAGUGAUGAAGGUCUUCGGAUCGUAAAACUCUGUUAUUAGGGAAGAACAAAUGUGUAAGUAACUAUGCACGUCUUGACGGUACCUAAUCAGAAAGCCACGGCUAACUACGUG
rnacentral:rRNA from 1 species